UAAAUUCCCGUGAUAAGGAAAGUAUACUUGGAUGCUUUAUUAGAGAGGCUCUGGCAGGUGAAAAGAGCUAAGUUCAGAAAAGUAGAAAAAUGGCCUUGGAGGAAAGUUUGUCGAUAAGUAGGCACACUCGGAACGUUUCACCGUUAUAAGAAACACCAAUCGUUCAGGUCAACUGAAUUUGUUGGGCUAAGGGAAGGCAACUUCCGAACAAAAGGUGGUAACACGAAUUUUCGUCCUUUUA
rnacentral:ncRNA from 1 species